GGGGCCGAUUAGGAUUCGACGCCGGUAGCGAAACUCUAGGUGCAUGCCGAGUUGGUAACAGAACUCGUAAAUCCACUGUUGCAACUUUCUAUAGUUGCCAAUGACGACCACUACGGUGCUGCUCUCGCUGCUUAAUUGCAGCUGACAUGCACUCCUGGUACCUUCGGGUCCAGCAAUCAUCAGGGGAUGCCUGUAAACCCGAAAUGAUUGUCAUACAGAACAGGAUCGUCGUGCAGCACGUUGGGGGCGAAGCGACUAAAACUUACCCAACUCAUCCAAAGCACCCUGCCCGUCGGGCGGCUGCGGAUUAAAUCAGUAGACACGGCUAAGCAUGUAGUACCGACAGCGGAGUACUGGCGGACGGGGGUUCAAAUCCCCCCGGCUCCACCA
rnacentral:tmRNA from 2 species